UGCAUUCACUACUGUAAGUCGCUCUGGAUAAGAGUGUCCACUAAAUGACAAAAA
rfam:Salmo salar isolate Sally breed double haploid chromosome ssa01, whole genome shotgun sequence.